GGACAGGGUGCCCCCGAGAGGCAAAGUCACUGUUUGCACCUGGCUCCACAUGCUAAGAAUCUUUGCAUGAAACAAAGUCCUGGAGUUGUAGCAACUCAUAAAUAACCUUGCUGAAGCCUUCAACUGGUGACCCAGCAGCUUCCAGCUUGUCAAUAGAUGUGAUUGAGUGUAAAGCCUCUUGGCAGCCAUCGUGGAGCUAAGGCAACCCCUGCAGAAGUUACCUCCACAGAGGAUCGACUGCCCACAAUUCCUGGCUGGGGCACCAAAGCCUCAGGAGACAAGCUGAGGCUUUAGACAAACAUCAUACCUUCCCCAAAAUGGUCAUGAAUUGAGGUAAGCCAGAGAGCAUGGUGAGCCUGAGACCUGCUGAUGAAUGGCAGGCUUUCCAGCCAAGAAUAUUACUGGAUCUUUCUUGUCCUGAUUCGGCUUCCUAACUUGACCUUACUUGAAAACAGAAUGGGCUAUUUCGAGGUUGAGAGUGAGGAUUUAUUGCCACGGAAUUUGUGAAUUAGUUUUCUUCUCUAUUGGGACCUGAGCCUUUGGUUCGUCUUCAGUGGGGUUUGACCUUGAACCACAUGCUGCCUGCGCUGCCCUUGACACCGGACCAAGUAUCUAGCUUCAGAAUGGAAGAUUGGAGAGCUUCCUCUGUCUGUCCUGCUGCUUCCUAAAUAGACCCAGAUAGUAACACUGAAAUGGUGAAAACAAGAGUAUUGCUUUUAUCAGCCUUGUGGUUUCCAACCAAAGCCAACGAUACAUGGGAAAAGGGAAUGUGGAAAAGCUCAUGACUGUACUCAACCAACAAAGCCAAGCUCACAUACUCUUGUAUGACCUGCCGGUGUAAGCCAAGCAAACCUUUCCUUCCCUCAGCUGCCUUUGGUCCAGGCAUUUUUCUAACUGUGAACUUCAUAUUUCGUUUAUAUUGCUAACUCCGAUUUAAGAAAUGACAUCAGUUUAAGUAAUGUGAUCAGAAAGAAAGCUUUUCUAUGCGAGAUCAAUCUAGUCAACACUCCAGCUUGGACUGAGAGGGGCUCAUGAGCUCUUGCCCCUAGCUGAGGAGCUGGUGACAGUUUGUGGCCUCUGGGGGACAUUAUCUUAAGAGCAUAACCCAUGGCUUGUGUACUGGCACAGGAAUCAAGUCACCUGUCUGGAUUCUGAUUCUGCAAGCUCUGCAGCCUCCG
rnacentral:lncRNA from 1 species